UCCCUGGUGGUCUACUGGUUAGGAUUUGGCGCUCUCACCGCCGCGGCCCAGCUUUGAUUCCCGGUCAGGGAA
rnacentral:tRNA from 1 species